rnacentral:rRNA from 1 species
UACGGAAGGCAGCAGUGGGGAAUAUUGCACAAUGGGCGAAAGCCUGAUGCAGCUAUGCCGCGUGUAUGAAGAAGGCCUUAGGGUUGUAAAGUACUUUCAUCGGGGAGGAAAAACAAAACUAAUAAUUUUAUUUCUUGACGUUACCCGAAAAAGAAGCACCGGCUAACUCCGUGCCAGCAGCCGCGGUAAUACGGAGGGUGCUAGCGUUAAUCAGAAUUACUGGGCGUAAAGAGCACGUAGGUGGUUUUUUUAAGUCAGAUGUGAAAUCCCUGGGCUUAACCUAGGAACUGCAUUUUGAAACUGAAAUACUAGAGUAUCGUAGAGGGAGGUAGAAUUCUAGGUGUAGCGGUGAAAUGCGUAGAUAUCUGGAGGAAUACCUGUGGCGAAAGCGGCCUCCUAAACGAAUACUGACACUGAGGGUGCGAAAGCGUGGGGAGCAAACAGGGAUUAGAUACCCGU